rnacentral:rRNA from 1 species
UACGUAGGGGGCAAGCGUUGUCCGGAAUCAUUGGGCGUAAAGAGCGUGUAGGCGGUCCGAUAAGUCCGCUCUGAAAGCCCGGGGCUCAACCCCGGGAGGCGGGCGGAUACUGUCGGGCUAGAGUCCGGAAGAGGCAAGUGGAAUUCCUGGUGUAGCGGUGAAAUGCGUAGAUAUCAGGAGGAACACCGGUGGUGUAGACGGCUUUCUGGACCGUAACUGACGCUGAAACACGAAAGCGUGGGUAGCAAACAGG